rnacentral:lncRNA from 1 species
CCAAACAUGAACCUGCCCGGUUACACCUUCCCAAUGAUUAAUUCUGGGCCAAUGGAUUAAGCCUCGUGGAUCAAAAAUUGAAGCUGAAAUUCAGCUGGCGUCGAUGCAACAGCAGGCAGACCAGCAUACUACAGGCCGAGUCUGAGAACACAGGACAGGAAAACGAGCAAUCAAGAACCCUAGCCUAGCUUCACAACGCGGCAGGCCCAGGACAGAACAGAAUUACCGAAGUGCCCCUCGCCAUUUAACCAUCUCAUCCCCUCACCUCCCCGACGGCGACUCCCCUCGAGCUCGCCCUCCUCCCCCCGCCUCGCUACCGUCGCCCGCUCUUCCCCGGCCAGCGAUCAUUCAACUGGUAAGCCCCCGAUUCCGUUGCGCCCCGCGGUUCCCUUACCCAGUUGCCCGCGGGCCGGCCGGUCGGCCGCCCGCGCGGCGCUGGGGUUUGCUGCUGAAUCGGCGAGUCGGAGGAGCCAGGACAGGAUGGGAGGCGGCCGGCUGCCUUGCGUGGUGUACUGAUGCGACUGUCACGGCGCUGGCUCGCGGUUUGUUCCUGGUUUAGGUUUUUUUGGGUCUGUAGAGGUGAUUGCUUUUGGCUGGGAGGCCCGGAUUGCAGUCCGGGCGUUGGGCGCACGGGGUGUGGGUAUCACAAAAUCGUUCCUUGACUCGAGGAGAGCUCCAUUUCGGUGCCGUCAAGCGGCCUGAUUGGCGAAAUUCGAGUGGACUGGACUUUUGAGGUCAAUAGUGAAGAUUAUUUCUCUGGUAGGAGUAUAGGAUUGCAAAUAAUUUUAUUGUUUCAAAUGAUCGAGAGCUGCUGAGCAGGCAGAUUGGUAGAUGAUUGAUUUUAGCGUGCCAUAUUUUUUACGUUGUCCUUUAAUCUUUCUGACAUUUGCUUGCCACUAUUUUGUGGACACACUUGUUGCGCUCUGUUUCACCCUAUGCUUUUGUGUUUCUCUGGCAUGCAACUGCUUUGUAGUCCAAACAAAUACAACUCCACGCAUGAUGGCUGCCAGCUUAUAUGCAUAUUGUUUGUUCCGAUCAACAUGAGAAUAUGAGAUUGGAUUGAAUUGAGAUUUUGGAAUUGGUACUGCAUGAGAGCUCCCAGGAAUACUGUGUGCAGGAAGGUGAAUGUCUAGCUAAUUUUGACUUUUAAAAUCAGGAUGCUUUUGUUUUUAUGUUUCAAUGGCGUUCUAUUGCUUCAUAUUAGAGCCACUGAUUAGGGAAAGUAGCUUUCCAUGCGAUACACGCAUGUAAAUGCCACUAAUCUUUGAUGGUGUUUUCAUGAUCAGUUGGGUCCCCUGUCAUUGGGUCGUUUGAUUUUCGUGCAAUGUCGCAAAUCACUAGCAGAAGGCUGGUAGUGAGGUAGGAUUGGAAGAGGGAAGGGAUGAGGAAGCUUAGUCUAGAUAGAAUUUUGGAAGGGAGUGUAGAUUAGGCUCACCCAUUUAUAGUGGUGCCAAGCAGGGCCAGGCCAACGCCGCCGCUGCCGCAUCGCCGUCUUCUCUCCACGCCCCUUUCCAUCAGGUAAUUCUCUCCGGCGGCAUGGGGCACCCAGAUGCCUGUUCUUCCUUGGAUCAAUCCUUCUUUUAAGUCAGUCUUGUGUCUUUGUUUUGGUGGUUAUGUCACCGGACUGAUUGCUUGCUGCUGGAAUGCUUUACUCCCUCCUGUCCCAUCAUCAUCACGUGGAUACUGAAACUGCGGGGUAACUGAUAAUAAGUUCAUAAGCAAAUGGUUUUUGAGGUCACCUGUGCUCAUGAAUUAGAAAAGAGAUCAAUCCAGAUGGGGAAGGGAGGUAGCAGGGUUCUUGAUCGUGCCCCAGACUUUUCAGCACUAAUCGCCCCUUUGGGCUCUGGCGCCACUAGAAUCGGGAGUAUUUGCUUCGUCCUCUUCCUCUAACGCCCUUUUCUUUUGAAGUUUUGAUCAAGGGAAGCAAGUUUUCUGCUGCUAACAAUUGUCUGUUUAUCUUGGUCAAUGGAUUGGGAGCAUGGGCAUUGAUGUUUUUCACUGUGUUGUGGUUUAGAAUACUUCAAUCGAAGUUGAGAAGCAAUUUCGAGUUUCUACUUGCUGUGCAAAUUGUAGUCAACUUCAAUGUUGAAAAGUUGUAAGCGUAACACAUCAGCUCACAGCUUCACUCUUGUAGGUUUUCUGAUUUUAUUAUGGACGACAAGAGUAAAGUCAAGAAGGAAAUGGGUGCUCCUCGAAAGGUUAGUAUCUCUUUUCCUUGGCUGUUCACAAUGCCAGCUUCUUCCGUUUAUUGCUUACCAUUGUUGUUUCUUGAUGUAAGGGAGGACUAAAAUUUGCACCCAAAGUACCUGUGAAGAAAGCUGCCAAAAUUGUUCCGAAAAAGUAGGUGAUUGGUCCGUGUUACUUUUCUAAAACUUGGAUAGCUUCCAUUUAAAAUUUGCUAGAUUAGCAAUUUCAGUGAUGUGUAAUUUGAUUUACUCUAACUUGACAGGGAACCAGUUGAGGAUAGCAAGGAUGAAACCGUCGAUAAGGAAUUGCUGAUGAAACUUAAGGCAUCACAGGUACUAAUCAUUAUAUUUGGUCCUUCAUUUGUUGUAUCUGCAAUCUUUUCACUUGAUGCUUGGUUGAUGUAUACAAUAAUUUGUUUCAUUUUGCAGAUUACAGAUCCCUUUGCUAGAAGAGUUAAAACUGAGGAUAAGCGUAAGAGUGCUUAUUUAUGUUCAUUCCAUGCUUUAUAGUCUAAACCUCAUCACCACCUAGUAAAUUUGUUACUCCUACCUCUAAAAGAAGUGUUAUCCCUGCAAGCUGAUGUGCUCGCAGCUACUCCUGUGAAUGGUUAUUGAUGUAUGUUGCAUCACGUUGGAUUGUCUUAAAUUUUGCAUUGUGUUGUGCAUGCACCGAACUCUUUCUUUCCAAGUCUUGAAUUAGUGUACUAAAAUUUAGUGCAUGUAGUACAAGGUAACCAAGGAUUUGUUACAGAGAAGGUUUAUUCAGAAAAAAAAUCAUUAGUUUCUUUCUAAAUUGAUAGAUCCAAUUGUUAUAAUUAUCAAACUAGUAUCUCAUUGGUGUUUAUAAAUAUACAAUUUUUAUAAUAUUGGUGGGGAUUAUUUAUUUUAUUUCUGAUGCACAUCUAGCUAACGAUGUAUUGCUCUGUUUGCAUAGCAAAAAGCCGGACACAAGUUGCAUUUGGACAAGGAAAUUCUUCUUAUGCAAGAUCAUUUUCUAUGCCAAAACGUUCUAAAGGUAUUGGUGGAAGAUAUUUAUCUUCAUUGCUUAUGACUCUAAACCGUUCACUAAGUGUCAUAAUUCUGAAAAAUUGGAUUAGUCUGCUGGCUGGGUUGCAAAUUUUGCUUUUCUCUUUUAAAAGAACAUAGAAUAUAUGUAAUGCUUGUUUGCACAUACAGAUUGCUGUAUUUGGACCUUAAUAACUAUCUUUGUUUCCAUUUCAUAUGCAGAUGAAGAGAAGUUAACAAAAGAAUAUGCAGAGCCAUGGGUGAGUAAAGAUCAGAUUACUAAUUCAGAUCGCUUCCUACUCAGACCUUAUCCAUUGAUUUCCUUUUUUAUUACAGGACUAUAACCAUACUGAUUAUCCUGUUACUCUCCCAUUGAGGAGGCCCUACUCUGGAAAUCCUGGUAUGCUGUUGUCUUUGUAGUGAAAUUGCAAGAAUUUUUCUUCAACCGACCUUUACACCCUUCCUACAUCCCUAAUGCAGAAAUUCUUGAUGAGAAAGAAUUUGGAGAAUCUUCUGCCAGCAGAGCUCAAGAUGCUAAAUUAACCGCAGCGGAAGAGCUUGGAUUAAUCGUAUGUCGCAGAUUCCAACACCGUUUUUUUUUCUGAUUAUAUGUAUUAAUUAUUAAAGCAAAAUCACUUUGUAAGCUCAAUUGUGUACACUAAGAAUCAACAUUGAACUGCUUAAAACUAAUAUAGUUGUACAGACCGUGGCCAUUGCUGCUCUUACACAUGUCCCGUGUUGACAGGAUCGAUCGGAUGAAUCACAAUUGCUCUUCAUCCAGUUGCCGUCUUCUCUUCCUUUACCAUUGCAGCCACAAUCAGUUGCUGAGCCUAAUAAAGGCUCUGAGGAGAGACGUCAGGGCAUGAAGCCAUCAUCGCACUGUGGCUCGAAACUCAAGGAUCUGCCUGGGGGUUAUAUGGGGAAGAUACUUGUAUAUAAGAGUGGUAAAGUGAAGAUGAAGGUCGGAGACACGCUAUUUGAUGUGAGUUUCAAAACUGGAAGUAGUUCUGUUUUCUAUCUAGGUUUUCCAUGCAGUACUCAAGAAGUCACAAUGAACAAAUUGUGCAGGUUUCUUCUGGCUCGAAUUGCAAGUUUGUCCAGGAAGUUGCAGCAAUGGACACCAGAGAAAAGCAUUGUUGCGCGGUGGGGGAGAUUAACAAACGUGCUGUUAUCACCCCCGAUAUUGACUACCUGCUGGGUUCUAUUGACAAGAUGGAAGAAUAGCCCAUUCAUUUCUUUUAGGUAAAACAACCAUCAUGGCCAUAUGCCACAUUGCAAGGGACUAUUUAGUUUUGUUUCUUCAGAGAACAAUCUGGAGUUUACUCUUCCAGAAACUUGGGGGGGGGGGGGGGGGGGGGGGGUCCCUCAGCACAACAAUUUUGAUCGAGAUAAUGAUUAGUCACAAGAGAUCUACAGCAUUUGGUGCACACAUGCACAAAAUGGAAAUGAAAAUUUAAGCUCAAAAUUCAUUCAAUCCCUGCAAACGUGCACCAAAAACUAUUUUGUGCCAGUCUAUGUGUUUCUGUGCAUAUGUGCAGCAAAAAUAUUGAUCUGGAUGAUAGUAAGUAGUUUUCUCAAAAUUUUGGGAACUAUAUAUUACUCAUACACAUUCUCUUUUGUCCAAUUUUUGACAAUGGCUUCCUCACUUUUGUCGGUGCUCUUCACGCAAACCAUACAUACAUGUACUUACUACAUCCGUUUUUAUUUAAAUGACGUCUGGACAAACAAGCUAAGAAUUGAAAUAAAUGUUGACGAUGCAGGUCAGCUAUACCUUUGUUUUUUGUUUAAAUGACGUCCAAACAAAAACUUUCACCUGUUACGAGUGCAAAUUCUGGUCGGGAGCAUCAAUUAUUCGUGAACGGAGGUAGUACAAUUUAGGAAUUCAAAGUCUAUCUUUAGAAAGAAUUUAAAAGGAGGUAUUAUUUUAUCCUUUAAUUAAUAUUCAACAUGUGCCAAACAUGAACCUGCUGGUUACACCUUCCCAAUGAUUAAUUCUGGGCCAAUGGAUUAAGCCUCGUGGAUCAAAAAUUGAACCCUAGCCUAGCUUCACAACACGGCAGCCCAGGACAGAACAGAAUUACCGAAGUGCCCCUCGCCAUUUAACCAUCUCAUCCCCUCACCUCCCCGACGGCGACUCCCCUCGAGCUCGCCCUCCUCCCCCCGCCUCGCUACCGUCGCCCGCUCUUCCCCGGCCAGCGAUCCCGAUUCAACUGGUAAGCCCCCGAUUCCGUUGCGCCCCGCGGUUCCCUUACCCAGUU